rnacentral:rRNA from 1 species
GACGAACGCUGGCGGCGUGCUUAACACAUGCAAGUCGAGCGGAGCGGCGAACGGGUGAGUAACGCGUGAGUAACUGCCCCCCUCACUGGGGUAACAGAUGGAAACGGCUGCUAAUACCGGAUAGUGGGGGAUGACUCCCGUCAUAUCAGCUUGUUGGUGGGGUAUGGGACUACAAAGGCGAGGACGGGUAGCCGGCUGGAGAGGGCGACCGGCCACAGUGGGAUGUGAUACGGACCAAACGCCGACGGGGGGCAGCAGUGGGGAAUAGUGCGCAAUGGGGGAAACCCUGAUGCAGAAAAGCGGGUGCGGGAUGACGGUCUUCGGGUUGUAAACCGCUUUCAGCCAUGACUCGUUAGUGGCAGAAGAAGCACCGGCUAACGACGUGCCAGCCGCCGCGGUAAUUC